UCAGUGAAUAAAACUGUAAAUUAGGAUUUAAAAACGACAGCAAAGAGUCUGUAGGCUACAAAUAAAAAAAGCAAUAUAAUAAUAAUAAUAAUAAUAAAUUGGAUUUAUAUAGCGCCUUUCAAUAAACCCAACGACGCUUUACAAAGAGGGCACACAAAAUCAUACUGACAUAUAAAAAACAAAGGAAAGAUAAGGAUAUUAAAACAAGUGAUGUGUAGGAAGAGUUAGAGGUCAUAGGCCUCGAUGAACAGGUGGUGCUUGAGGUGUUUUUUGAAAGUGUCCAGGGAUGAAGCAUUUCUAAUCUCAGGAGGGAGUGUAGGUCUGUAACCAUGCACUGUAUCCAGCAGAGCACUCUUCCAUCACAUGUACUACAGAUCAUCUGCCAGCAGGGGAAUUCAGUAAAAUGACAUCCCUCUGCAUGCACAGUGCAUCCUCCCAUCACAUGUGCAGCCACACUACUGCACUGCCAGACCCAAAGGACUAACACAUGCUUUCCUACUAAAUCUACGUGGUGGUGAUUCAUGUGCUGACCUUGGGUGCCGACCACUAUGACUGGGAUGUCCGAGCGGUGUGCACUCAGCUGGCUGUAGAGCUGGUAGAGCUCUUGGAAGCUGCCCUCGUGCUCCAGACUGAAGACCAGGAUCACUGCGUCAACCCAGCUGCUGAACUGAAGGAGGAAGAGGAGGACGGAUGAUGAAGACUGCAGCCUUUCCUUGGCACGCAGUCAGUCGACCACAUCCCACUCGCUUAUUAAGUCCAAAAAAGAGAGGUGGCUCUCAUUUUAGCAUUAGUGAACUCCACACUCACAGAUCCAGGCCCCUCGGAGGAUACACUGACUUUGAUCCUCUCUGAAGCAGCCUAAUUAUACCAACAACAAAAAAAAUUCAGCUGAAUGUUUUAACACAUUGGGGAUGUGCUUCUCAGAGUGUGUCAAGAUCUGCCAGAUCCUAAAAAGACCUCAAAGCUCCCCAAAAUCCAUCAGGGGGCUGACUGACCUUCAUUUCACACACAAACAGUGGAAUGAGUAUAACAGCUAAUGAAUAAACGGAUGAAAUCAAAAGGUGAGCUGGUUAUUUCAUCAGGUUAUUCCACUCGAUCUGACCUCGCCAGUGGUGGAAAGUACAUUCACUCAAGAACAAAUUUGAGUGUACUUCACAUGAGUAUUUCCAAUUUAUGCUGUUUUAUACUUCUACUCUGUUACAUUCCAGAGGGAAAUAUUGUACUUUUUACUUAACUACAUUUAUCUAACCGUGGUUGAUUUUCCUGUACAAACAUAUGAUUAACUUACUUAAUAUGAUGCAUUAAAAUAGAUUAAAGGCCCCUCAUACCAACCAUUAUGUGCUGAUUAGACCUGCUCAGGCUUGAGUUGCGAUUUUUGCCCUGGUGGAUGAAGUACUGAGAUCUUUUAAUUAAGUAAAAAUAGCAAUACCACACUAUAUACUGUAUAUAUAAAAUAUUUCACUGUGAGUAAAAGUCUUGAAUUCUUAAUUUUGCUUAAAGGUACAGUGUGUAGGAUUUGGCGCCAUCUAGCGGUGUGUUUGCACGUUACAACCAACUGAGUACCCCUCCGCUCACUCCUCCCUUUCCAAGACUGCAUUAACGUG